AAAAAAAAAACUUUUCUGAUUUAUCCUUGAAUUUCAGAAAAAAAAUGAGAAAAUGGAUGAAAAUUGUGAAGAACCAAUAUACCUAAACUGAAGGAAGGAGUAAUUGAGGAAGAUGAGGAGCAAACCAACCACUGUUUUCAUGGCUUUUGGAAUAAAAGGGCUCUUCUUCUUCUUCUUCUUCUAUGUUUUGUCUGUCGUCGAUAUUCACCGCUACAAGUCCAACCCAGAUGUUCUGGCUUAGCCUCUGCCUCUUUGUGAUGAUUUAACUUGCUGGGUUCUCAGAACUCUAAUGGUCAACCUGAAAAACAAAGUGAUCAUACCCAGUGUAUGAAAUAUGAGCGAGUUGGGUUAUGUUUCGGUUUUGUUUGACCCAUUUUCAACUCAUUUGCCGUCACCACUGAAGAGCCUUACAUAUUCUUUGUUUAAUCUUUAUAUGAAGACGUAUUUAGUUUUUAUGUCACGAUAAUGAGCAAAUUAAUGAUCAAUGCAUAAUGGCAUAUUGAUUCCUAAAGGAAACAUCAAGUACAUUGAGUAUUGGCCACUAAAACAAGACAAGCAAGGCAGCCUCGCCGUCAGCACAAAUAUCGAGUAAUUUAUUCACCAAAAUUAAGCAUCUGUGAUUACGUUUAGUCAUCUCAUUGGGACAAUUUAUUAUGUACUUGCUUUGUUUCAAGAAUGGUAAUUGCUUUGACUAUAAAUUUCCAUUUUUAGCUUUGGCAA